UGUUGAGCCCACAAACAACAUCCGCCAGGGUACUACGAGCGCUAGCUUAAAACCCAAAGGACUUGACGGUGUCUCAGACCCACCUAGAGGAGCCUGUUCUAGAACCGAUAAUCCCCGUUCAACCUCACCACCCCUUGCUUUUCCCGCCUAUAUACCGCCGUCGCAAGCUUACCCUGUGAAGGACCUACAGUAAGCAAAAUGAGUACAACCCAAAACGUCAGGUCGAGGUGUAGCUCACGAGGUGGAAAGAAAUGGGCUACAUUUUCUUCAACAGAAUAUUACGGACAACGCUAUGAAACCAGUGUUUUAAGGUGGAUUUAGUAGUAAAAAACAAAUAGAGUGUGUUUUUGAACCAGGCUCUGAGA
rnacentral:rRNA from 1 species